AUGUGUGCCAGCUCUUUGAGACAGAAGGAGAACAGAAAUAGACGAUCGAUGCAUCACACAUCUACGGUGACCCGCACUCAGACUUUCAAGAUUUGUUUUUGGUGAUGACUAAUAUGAGAAGUGAAGACUCAUUUCAGUCUGAAGUCGACGCUGCCUCUCUGAUCUUGGAUGAAGGUGUGACUGUUGGUUAGUAUCAGGCGUCGAGGAGCUGCGGGAAAAUGAACGUUUUGAUGCAACGCCCUGAGAAACAGUGCGACCAGAGCUCAGGUCUGAACAGAACAAACGGUUAAAUUGAGCCAUCACCACCCAUCUCCUCUGUUUGCUUAAGUGUGUUACUGGGUUAUCUGGCCAAAGACUACUCAUCUUAUCAAACAUGCCGAGUCACCUCCCUUCAACUCUAGUGAAGACUUAUGGUUUUGGGAAAGUACAUUGUGUAAAAGCACCACAAACGAAUGUCCCUGUUUCAGUCUAAAAGGUUUGACAGUCUGAUGUCAUAGAGAAUCUCUGGAAGCUUUGAAUUCUUGAUAAGAAGGUUCUGUUAUUUUUAAGAAUGAUGAUGAUAUGUGAAUUCAGAGUAGUGUAUUAGAACACACUGCGCUGCACACUGUAUCCCAUAAUGCAAAGUGCUCAUCAUGCUUUUAGCUCAGAUUGGCUGAAUGUUUACCUAAGAUUGGACCGAAAAUGCAAAAUAAGCGAAUUUGCAACUGGAUUUUGAAUUAUAUAAGAUGAGGUCUGUGUGGCAUUCAGAAUUGAUUUCCUGUUCAAUUUCUGUUUUUGAAAUGAGAUAGCAAACAGGAUGAAGAGUUGCAAUAUGAUUUCAGUGUUUGAGGUGUCACCUACAUAAAUAAAAAAAUUCAACCCUUUAUCAAACGCCUAGCGACCACCCAAAAUGUCCAAAAAACUGCAUUGCAACAUGCUAAAAACCACUUCAACACCUUAGCAACUGCUUAGCGGCCAUUUAAAACACUAAACAUUUGUGAAUCAGAACACUUGAUUUCCCAGAAUGCACUGCAUCUGUGUUAAAUUGUUUUGAGUUAUGGCGCUUUAAAGUCAUAACAGAAAGAUUGUAAAUACGAGUUGAAUGUGCUUAAAACAAAAUACACCUGAUGCACAUUCUUUAUUCAUCAUUGUAGAAUUAAAAAUUGUUGUAGAGAAAGUACAUUGCCAUCUUGCUCC
rnacentral:lncRNA from 1 species